CGUAAACAAAGGGAAGCGAACCUGUGAAGGGGAGCGAAUCCCAAAAAUAACGUCUCAGUUCGGAUUGUAGUCUGCAACUCGACUACAUGAAGCUGGAAUCGCUAGUAAUCGCGAAUCAGAAUGUCGCGGUGAAUACGUUCCCGGGUCUUGUACACACCGCCCGUCACACCAUGGGAGUUGGUAACGCCCGAAGUCAGUGACCUAACCGAGAGGGAGGAGCUGCCGAAGGCGGGACUGAUAACUGGGGUGAAGUCGUAACAAGGUACC
rnacentral:rRNA from 1 species